CCUACGGGUGGCUGCAGUGGGGAAUAUUGGACAAUGGGCGAAAGCCUGAUCCAGCCAUGCCGCGUGUGUGAAGAAGGCCUUCGGGUUGUAAAGCACUUUCAGUGGGGAAGAAAGCCUUGGGGCUAAUACCCUCGAGGAAGGACAUCACCCACAGAAGAAGCACCGGCUAACUCCGUGCCAGCAGCCGCGGUAAUACGGAGGGUGCGAGCGUUAAUCGGAAUUACUGGGCGUAAAGCGCGCGUAGGCGGUCUGAUAAGCCGGUUGUGAAAGCCCCGGGCUCAACCUGGGAACGGCAUCCGGAACUGUCAGGCUAGAGUGCAGGAGAGGAAGGUAGAAGUCCCGGUGUAGCGGUGAAAUGCGUAGAGAUCGGGAGGAAUACCAGUGGCGAAGGCGGCCUUCUGGACUGACACUGACGCUGAGGUGCGAAAGCGUGGGUAGCAAACAGGAUUAGAUACCCUAGUAGUC
rnacentral:rRNA from 1 species